rnacentral:rRNA from 1 species
UGGGGAAUUUUGGACAAUGGGCGAAAGCCUGAUCCAGCAAUGCCGCGUGUGUGAAGAAGGCCUUCGGGUUGUAAAGCACUUUUGUCCGGAAAGAAAUCCUUGGCUCUAAUACAGUCGGGGGAUGACGGUACCGGAAGAAUAAGCACCGGCUAACUACGUGCCAGCAGCCGCGGUAAUACGUAGGGUGCGAGCGUUAAUCGGAAUUACUGGGCGUAAAGCGUGCGCAGGCGGUGAUGUAAGACCGAUGUGAAAUCCCCGGGCUCAACCUGGGAACUGCAUUGGUGACUGCAUUGCUCGAGUAUGGCAGAGGGGGGUGGAAUUCCACGUGUAGCAGUGAAAUGCGUAGAGAUGUGGAGGAACACCGAUGGCGAAGGCAGCCCCCUGGGCCAAUACUGACGCUCAUGCACGAAAGCGUGGGGAGCAAACAGGAUUAGAUACCCUGGUAGUCCACGCCCUAAACGAUGUCAACUGGUUGUCGGGCCUUCAUUGGCUUAGUAACGUAGCUAACGCGUGAAGUUGACCGCCUGGGGAGUACGGUCGC